ACAAAGUUUUCUCUAGGCACCAUUCAUCCAUAGUUACUGUAUGUUAUGAUUUAUGCAUUUCCUUUCAUUUCAGACAUAAUAGAAUGUUAAAGUUGAUGUUUCAUGGUACUCCUUCCAUGUCAAGGCUGCCUAGGGUCCCCAAAAAUAUGCUAGAUUGCUGCCUGUGCCCAACCAGUAAGUUGGUUUGAGACAUACAUGCUAUUUUCUUGGGUAUGCAUGAUUAGGAUCUAGUCCAGGUGAUAGUCCACCGAGUUAGGAUUGUGUGGGUUCAAACGGAGGUCGAUUUGGCUUAGAAAUGAAUAAGUUAUGAAUUUAUUUGGUGAGUGUGCGCUGGUUUGCUGCCUGUGUACGACCAGUAAGUUGGUUUGAGUCGUACAUGCUGUUUUCAUGGGUCUUCACAGUUAGGAUCAAGUCCAGGUGAUAGUCCUUCGAGUUUGGAUCGUGUGGGUUCAAACAGAGGUCGAUUUAUCUUAGAAAUGAAUCAGUUAUGAAUUUAUUUUGUGAGUGUGUGCUGGUUUGAUGCCUGUGCACGACUAGUAAGUUGGUUUGAGUUGUACAUGUUGUUUUCUUGGUUUUGCAUGGUUAGGAUCAAUUCCAGGUGAUAGUCCUUCGAGUUAGGAUUGUGUGGGUUCAAACUGAGGCCGAUUUGACUUCGAAAUGAUUCAGGUAUGAAUUUAUUUGGUGAGGGUGCGCUGGUUUGCUGCCUGUGCGCGACCAGCAAGUUGGUUUGAGUUGUACAGGCUGUUUUCUUGGGUCUGCACGGUUAGGAUCAAGUCCAGGUGAUAGUCCUUCGAGUUAGGAUUGUGUGGGUUCAAACGGAGGUCGAUUUGGCUUCGAAAUGAAUCAGUUAUGAAUUUAUUUGGUGAGGGUACGCUGGUUUGCUGCCUGUGCACGACCAGCAAGUUGGUUUGAGUCGUACAUGCUGUUUUCUUGGGUCUUCACGGUUAGGCUAAAGUCCAGGUGAUAGUCCUUCGAGUUAGGGUCGUGUGGGUUUAAACGGGGUGUGAUUCGGCUUAGAAAUGAAUAAGUUAUGAAUUUUACGGUAAGACCACUCAACUGCGUAUUGUCAGGGCAGAAUUGAGCAAAACGAGUUUUCAGGUUCCUAAGGGCAGCCGAUUUACAUGGAAUAUUUUGAUUGUCAAGCAUGUCUUAUGAUGUUCCAGUAGUUAUUUCAAAACUUUAGUUUGAGAAAAAAAAAAGGUUUGAGAUUUGAGGCGAGGAAAAAUAAUUUUUUUGUUUGAUAAGGUGACAUGAAUGUAGUGUUCUUUGACGGAUAUGGGGCCAAGAGUCGUCUCGUUUAGCCAUAUCAAAUUGACACAGUGGACAUCAGACAAGCACCGGGGUGCCCUACACUUGACAGGAGAGCAUGAGCCAGAGGUAGAGGGGAAGGAUGCUUGAGCGGAUUGUAUUGUAGCAAGGCACUGAACCUAGUGACCCUUACGUUUUUCACAUGAUUUUCUUUUGGAGUUGUUGAGGGAGGUUAAAAUAAAAAGACAUGUUUUCUUUUGCUUCUUUACGGUUGUCGGAUUAGUUUGAGUUUUGACUGGUUCUACAUUGGGUUCAAAUACUUAUAAACUAAAUAAAUUAUUUUUAAAAUUGUUUUCA